GGUAAGUUUGAUUACCCCUGCCGAGGCUGCUGUGUGUGCAUGUCUUUUUGGCAUUUGUGGAGCUCAGUUGUUUUUUGUGUGUGUAUGUUUUAACUUUCUGUUUUUCUGAGCAGUAAAUAGUGUGUUUGCUGAGUGUGGUUGGCAGGAGGAGGUGGGGAGCUGCUCAGGACUGGUAGGUUUGGUUUCUCGGAGAGUACGGCAGCCUUCCUGUGUGAUGUGACGGAUUGUUGGGCGGUAACAUUCCAGCUUGUGUGUCUUAGGCAAUGUAGCCUGUGUAGUGUGUGUUGUGUGGCCUGGGCAGAUUUUGUUGUGGUGCUGUGAGUGAAGAAUCUGAGUUAGAGGUGGUGAGCAGCUGAAGUACCGGAGCUGGGAAGAGAGAGGUCUUGCAGCAGGUACGCUGUGGCUGUGAGGUGCCUCAGAGUAUGCUUUUCCCUUGUCUCUGCAGGUGCUUUGUGCAGUCGUGGACAGGGAAGGGAAAUCCUCCUGUGAUGGAGCUCUGAGGGAAGGUGAGUGUUGCCAGCCUGGUCAUGCCUUAUCUGAAGUGAAGUGAAGACGCUCAGGUGUUUCCCUGUGAGGGUCUGAGGUGUUGUGGAUGAUGGUGGCCGCUCCUUUCAAGCUUGGACCUAAUUUGCAGGUCCAGAGGUUGAAAUGCAGCGUGCAGUGCGCAGUGCAGGACGUCUCGACCCGAGCUGCCUCUGCAGUGACUCUGAGGUGCUAUAAGGGGGUGAAGAGAAGAGAUGGAAGCAUGUGCCAUGUGGGGCAGGCAAGCGGCUGAGGUACAGGAGGGGAUGAGAGUAUGUGAUUUUUUUCUGGGGAUGGAAUAGAAUUAAUUUUGUUGGUGUAUAAUCUGUUCCGCUCCUAGAUUUUUCUUUCAAUGCAAA
rnacentral:lncRNA from 1 species